rnacentral:rRNA from 1 species
UACGAAGGGGCUAGGCGUUGCUCGGAAUCACUGGGCGUAAAGGGUGCGUAGGCGGGUCUUUAAGUCAGGGGUGAAAUCCUGGAGGCUCAACUCCAGAACUGCCUUUGAUACUGAAGAUCUUGAGUUCGGGAGAGGUGAGUGGAACUGCGAGUGUAGAGGUGAAAUUCGUAGAUAUUCGCAAGAACACCAGUGGCGAAGGCGGCUCACUGGCCCGAUACUGACGCUGAGGCACGAAAGCGUGGGGAGCAAACAGG